ACUAUCUCCUCCCUUCUUCCUGAUUAUUAUUUGUUGUUGUUGUUAGGGCAUUCAUGGGGGUGAUGUAGGUUGAAAUACCUUAAGUUGUAGGAGAGAAUUGAAUUUGUCCCUCCCAAGUUCUAACUCCAAAACUCUACCUCCUUCCACAGAUUUGUGAAAAUCAAGCUUUUCAUUUAUUUUGUUUUCGUUACAGCUGCUCAAAGUGAAAUGCUUUGUUUCAAGAAUUAAAUUUUGUGGGGGUUUUGUUUUGUUUCAGUGUGAAAAAACAAAAAGGUUAAAUCUUGGUUUGGGCUGAACUAUUUGUGUUGGUUUUUUUUCAGUUUGGUUGCUGAGUCAAAAGAAUCAGUCCUAAUCUGGAAAUUUGUAGCAUUCUUCUGGAUUAGAAUAGCCUUUUGUAGCUUCAGAAAAUCCUCCUGUUAGCCACAUCCUCCUCCUUAAUAGCAUAGGCAUUCAGGUCACAGCAAAGAACAGAACAAGUUCUUAUUGAUUAGGCUUACAGAGACACUUCACACUUUUCCUCAUAAUAGGGAAAAUAUUUUGAUGAACAAAUACUCAAAAGCUUGGGAGCUAACUGACAUUUGCCUGGGAGGCUUGUUUCUCAUCAACAGCCUGAAUAUACAUUGCCAGCUUGUGAUAAAGAGCAAGCCUUGCAAGGGAAGGUUGCACCACCAUGCUGGUGGGAAAUGCAAACCUGGAUGAUUAUGGGAGCAAGUGGAGCUAAUGAGACAACAGGGAAAGUUCAGAACAAGAAAAUUGCAUCAUAAUCUAGUCUUCAUCAAGGUUUACUUUAAAGUAUCCCUCCAGGGCUGGAUGACUAUUGGAUACAUUAGAGGGGAAGAGAACCUGAGGAAGAGAAGACAGGAAUGACUGGAGAAAACACAAUGAUCCCUGCAUGGGUCAUUGUAGUUUGUGGGGUUUUUUGUUUAUCUAUGGAUAGAUAAAUACAUACAUAAGCAGAUGUAUAGCGUAUGCUAGUGGGAUUAUUUUAUGUUUAUAUCAAAAAUUGCACCAGCCAAGUACAUCUUUCUUUGGUCGUUCUCUUAUAGUCCUGACAGCUCUUCUGUCUUUAGCCUUUUUUUGCAGACCUAGUUCAGCCCACAUUCUCAGGAAGUGUUCGCUGGAACUUGUGCAUUACUUGAUUAUCGAGAUUAACUUAUCUUUUCUUUUUUCCACUAAAGCACUAAGCAGCUCUUACAGAAAUGUAGGUGUGUUUGAGAAUUAUAAGAGUCUUUAAUUCUCAUACCAAACUACACCCACAGAAGUCAAUUCCAGUGCCAGUGAUUAAAGGUCAUGUGAAUGGCAAAAAGUAACAGCUGGCUGGACACUAAGAAGCAAGGAAUUAACACUGAUAAUGGCUUUAUGGCAUAUUGUAAUCUACCUGAUUCCUGAGUUUUUUCCAUAUGCGAAAGGUGGAGCUUUUUAUCUGUAAGAAGCUGUAUAGCAGGAGAAAAACAUGGCUGCUGGGAGUUGGAUCCCAUAGCAAGAAAACCUAUCUCUCUCUCUCCCCCCCCUUUUUUUUGUCAAAAUGGGCCAGCAGCAAAUGUGAGAAAUCUGAACUAAAGCUGUUUGGUACAGAAGUACUCAUGUGAAUUUGUGUAAGAUAGAAGAUAUGGUUGUUGCUGACUAAUAUCUGAUAUGACAGGUUGCAAUUAUAGGCCUCUCAGAGCAAUCUCUGCUUUGAGCCUCAUUCAAAUGAAAAAAAUCACAAGUAUUUUAGAGUUUGCAUUGUGUGGACCUGAUCAUUGUUUUCCGUGAAAAGUGGUGAAAAAACUGGAUUAAGCAUGGCUUAAAAUCCUAUUAUUACUGCUCUCAGUGAUUAAAAAAAAGUACCACAUUGGGUGUAUUUUGUAUUGUGUGAAAGCUACUGCCUCAUAUGAUGAGAAGAAAAAAUGUUAAUAGUGUAACGUAAGUUCGUUUUGUUUUGUGUUGAACCUGAAAAAUACUUAUGUCAAAUGCAGUAAGUCUGGAGACAAAAUGUUAGUGGUUUUCUCCAUAACCCUGAUGAUAAACUGUGCUUGCAAAAAGAUUUAUUUUAGGUUUUGAUUCUCAUGUCCUUUCACCUCUCUUUGAUUUAUAAUAAAGCUCCCAUCAGUGCCCCCUGGUGGGACCAUGCAGAAACAGUCAUCUUCCUAGGAAAGUGGUUAAGCAGUAGCAAGGUUACUGACUAAUAGCGGAGUAACUUCAUGUGUCAAGCCUUUGAAGCAAGCUUGGUCAGUUAUUCCCACACUGCAUUUUUCUUGCAUGUUUGAAUAGGAGGUAUUCAUAGUGAAGCACCAUCAGUCCGAGACCAAUAAAUAAAGGGGUGAGGCGAGAGCUAUAUAAAGGAAUGUAGUCCACUGAAUCCCUCUUAGUUCCUCAGACUCCCUACGUACUUGAACAUUUGGCUCCUUUUCCCAGUUCAGGAGCUGUACAAAGCCACAGAAUACCACAGAUACCAGAUUAGACCCAGAUUCUCCUCUUGGUUACAUGAGCAAAUGGGGAGUCAUUCCAGUGAAGCCAAUAGACUGAUUCUUGGUAAUACACUGAUGCAACUGGCUCGCAAAAUUAGUAGGAGCCUAGUUUGCUCAAAAAAUAAAUAAAAGAAACAAAACUAAAACAAUAAUUAAGUCCACAUUUUGGGUGCUAUUUAAAGACUUCAGUUCAGUCUCCAAAUUUGUGUUGGCAAUUUUAUACCUCUUUUUGUGUGUGCACAAACAAUUGUCCAAUAUGAACCAGCUCAAUAUUAGCCUGCCACAGUUUUUAUUCCCGGGCCAUUAUUUUAAUCUGUGUGCUUGUCUAAGCCUUGUAUUCAGUUUUCUAUCAUGGUAUCUGAGCUUCCAGGGUAGAUCGCACAGUGAUAGCAAUCGUAAAGACAGGGUGGAAAUUCAGUUUUUCUAGGUCUUUAGAACUACAGAAGCCUUGCUGCAAACUGCUCAACUCAUGAGCUUGAGCGAGUCAGGACCUAUCCUGAAAUUUCUUCACAAUGGCCAACAUCACCAAUUAUGUUCUACCUAACCCUAGCCCUGUGUGAUCAUGAAGAAAUUCAUUAAUUUUUUUAUCAGGGUAAUCUGUCUCAUGCCAGACAAUGAGUGUAUUUUGUUUGACUCAGUGACACUGGGAAAAGAAAUCAUUCUUAGAAUCAGGACUUCAUGGAGUUUCAACAGAGGCACAUACUUGUCAGGUAGUUGCUCGUUCUGAUGAGGCUCAAGCAUACGGCAUAUUUCACAUUACGAUGGUGACCCAAACUGUGGGAAACCACCAAAACAAACAGCAGCAGAGGAGCUGGAGGGAAAUUGAACCGUGGGAUUCACCGACUGAUUGAGCUCUCUCUGUUGUCAAUAACUGAUGGUGACAAGCUGUGAGUUAACAGUAGAUGUGUUCAGGGAGGAGAGGUAAAGUUUAGGUCUAAAUUGAACUCAUAACCUAUACAGAGCUACAGUUAUGAACCAUAAGACUGACUCAUUAUCUUAGUAUCUGUGUGUGGAUGGGGAGAAGUUGCUGUUAGUUCCAGUUAAAUAAUGUGCAUUUGACUCAUAGUGCUCUUGCUGAGUUGUAAUUAAAUAUUCAGGGAAGGCCAAUCUAGUACUGGGGUAAGAAAGCACAGUCCUGUUAUCAACUUGUUUUUACUUAGGUCAGGGCAGACUUUGGCUAAUGAGUUGUGCCCAGUUUAUUAUAGUAUUAUAUGGUGCGACUUUGCUGCAAGUCAUGCUCUAUAGCUGAGUAUCCAUUGUUGGAAUACAUGAAAAAAAGGAUGGCCUUCCUCUUCCUACAUAAAAGAAUGCCGUUCAACUACACCAUAGAAUGAUUCGUUAUUGAAGUACUAUACAGGAUCCCAAAUGGGAUUUAUACUUGCCUUGUUCUAAUUUAGAACAGAUUAAGUUCUAAGGAUGAAAGUACAGCUUAUAGAAUUUUUUUCUGAUAUAGGUUGUAUCACUUCCCAAAAUGAAAUAAACUGCCUCAGCAAUAUCACUUUUAUACUAUUAUAACUUCAUCUAGGGUAUUUGCCUGUACAGAAACGUCAUAAAAAAUCACUGCACUAGCUAACAGUAUUAUACUAGCCAAAGGUCCUAUAGUAGACCUAGUGUUUAUAAAUACAAUGCUAAAGGUCCAAUAGUGAACCCAUGUGUUGUUUCCCUGGACACCUCCUCAGUCUUUAAGAUACAGAAAUUAGAGCUAAGGGAAAAUUUCCCCAAUCACAGCAAAUAACUGUUUUAAAUGAGCCUUGAAAAUAUUUGGGGAGGUUCAUACCCAUAUGGGGUGCCUCUUAGUAGAGCGCUAUGGAGGUUUGUCUCUACAAAAGAUGUUUAGUUUAAUCCAGGACUGAAAAACAAAGGAUGUGCUGCUGCCACACUAAUUAAAAACAGAGCUAAUGUGUUGCUCAUGUGUACCAAUUUUUCCUGCAUUGUAAUGUAAAUGCUUUUUUAGAUGUGGAAAAAGUUUAUAAAAGAAUAUACUACAGAAAAACUUACAGGAAUCUGUACUCUUCAAAGAGACACUGGCAGUCUUUUAUGUAGAUACUCUGAUCAAAAUGGGCUUUGUACUUUCUAUAGGUAUGUGCCUCAGAUCCAACACCUGUCUAGAGAAUUAAAAAAUGCCAUUUGGAUUCAGCAAACAAAAUGAUAAUUAGGAGGUAGGGAAAGUUAAUGAAAAAUGAUGUACUGGAUGCUUUUCGGUUCUCACACUCAGACCCACAAACUAGAAAAAAUAGGAGACAAAAACCCCUCAAAUAACUAUAUGCAUUAAUUUAUAAAUGCAUACAGAGUUCAACUACUACUAUUGCUUUGAGCCAUUUCUGGAAGUUUCUAGAUCAUACAGCAUGGUGAGCAAUAUUACUACAAUUCCACUAUUUGAAGGGAUAUCACUCUAUAUGGUGUAUCUUUUUUUUAAGGGACUGUCUUAUACUUUUUGAAUCAAUUGAUAAAGUUGAAGGUGCAAUCACUUUUCCUCCUUUCAUGUCCUCAGAUACAUUUUUAGGAAUAAAAUUGGCUAUUAGCCCCCAUGUUUUAGCUAGGAUUACCAUAUUUCCAGUUUCAAAAAAGCGGACACCUGUGUGGACAUGUAGUAACCUUGCUCUAGCCCAAUUAUGGUUUGCAUCAUUAUAUUCAGAUUGAAUGCCUGCUUCUAAGGCUCCAUCACAGUAGUGAUCUGCUUGUCUGAAUCCCUCCUGCAGAUGCAACCAGGAUUUCUCACUUCCUGUCACAAACAUUGUGUGGUAUUGCUGUGGAAUAUUGUAGAGUUGCCACAUUUCAUCCUGGUGUUUGAUGUAGUCUAAUUUAAAACACACAAGCAGUGAUCUUCCGCCAUUUCCCUUGGCUUAUUCGAUGCUUUUCCUAAUUUUCAGACUAAAUAUUAUUUUCUUAAAUUGUGCCACAUUAAAUAUUCCCUUUCUACCUCUACUAUGUGUACCCUUCAAAUAUUUGUAGCUUAGUGUUAUCUCCCACCUUAAUCAAAAUACAACAUAUUUAUUAACUGUUCCUCAUAAAUCACUCUCUCCAGCUCUUUAAUCAAAUAGGCUGGUCAUCUCUGAAUUUCUUCCAAUCUUUCAGUACCUUUCAGGUGAUAUGCCCACAAAUUAAUGCAGUAUUCCAGAUGUGGUCAUACCAGAGCCAUAUAAAGCGGAAAUUUUACCUCCCUCUUCAUUGUGUGACAUUUUUAAAUAUCCAAAAUUUGAGUGAUUUUUUUUUUGUAGCCAUAUUACAUAAUGGUUGUCUCACUGUUUUCCUCCUUCUAUGUUCACUAUACUGAAAAAUAAAUGAAAAAAAUGUAUCUAAUUUCCUCUGCAUGUGCCUACAUCUAAGGCUCCAUCACAGUAGUAUUGUACCUGUCUAAAUUAGUUCUGCAGGUUCAGUUGGGAUUUCUCACUUCCUGUCACACACAUUGCCACUUUCAGCCCUGUGAAUGCUGAAUGUUUAAGGUGUCUUAAUACAUCUGUACAGGGGUGAGUUCAUGUUUUUUUCUGGACUCUUGCCAAGAGGCUGUCUCUAGUUACCCCAUCUGUAAAUGAAUACCUGGUUGUUU